ACACCUAGGUCUAGCAAAUGGCUCCUGCUUUUUCAGACACUCUGCCUUCAGGAAGUCGUCACAUUAAUAUUCCUUCAUUUGUCAGGUUCUGGGCUUUUCUUUAAGAAAGGUCUCUCCCCUUCGGCUUCCCGUUGGGGAGUGGCCUGGAGUGGAGCUGCACGCCUGAAGCUAGUUAGAUCAUCAGUCGAGAGGAUUUAAGGAGCCAUCGGACCUCUCCUCUCCGCCGGAUGAUUAUCCCUCCACGGAUCUGGCCAACUUCCACCGGUGAAUCUGCCUGCAGCUUUCAGAGCCUCACCUGCCUGCCCGCUCCAGUCCACUGCUCGAUCGCAUCCUCCCCCGUCGGAAGCCUUCCAAGAAGACGCGUGACUCAGACCUAUAUCCUCGGAUCACCUGCAG